GUGAAAUCCAGAUGGAUCAAUUUUGAUAAACUAAGCCCAGGUUUGAAUGUUUACAAGGUGCUCUAUGGCACCAUCUAGUGGUCCAUUUACUAAUGUGUCCCCAAUCAAUCAAUUGGUGGGCAGUGUGUCUGCAGGGGGGGGGUGUCCAAUUAACAGUCACAUCAGGUCAUUGUUCUGUUUCUGGAAGGCAGAGGGCUGGUAUGUUUGAUAGAACUUUGUAAAACCAAAUAUGAUUAUGUCAAAGUCCACUUCAAAGCCUUCCAGGCUCUUGGAUUUUACGUUCUGUGCUGGCUUUGUGUUGGGGUUCUGUCUCUGUUUCAUGGCCAUUGCUUACUACAGAGCUUAUCAGAUCUCUCAGGAGACAGUGCCCUUGCCCUCACGGACCAGCAGCCUCUUGGGUGAGCUCCCUUCAGUACACGACUCUGCUGUUGCCACUAAUGCCUCAGUCCUCUCGCCAUUGCCCCCCUCCCCCUCUUCGGGUUGACUGCUCUGCUGGGUGUUUACCUCACCCCAGACUCUGUGGACCAGAGCUAAACACAUAGUGAACACCUGGGGGCCUCACUGUGACACACUGCUCUUCAUGAGCUCUAAGCCGGACCUCCUGUUCCCUGGGACCGUGCUGGGUCUGGCAACAGAGGAGGGACGGGCCAACCUGUACAAUAAGACCAUGGCCACUUACAACUAAUUGCAUGACGGGCAAUGCUCCCACAACACCA
rnacentral:lncRNA from 1 species